AAUAGAUACCCUGGUAGUCCACGCCGUAAACGAUGAGUGCUAAGUGCGUAGGGGGUUUCCGCCCCUUAGUGCUGCAGCUAACGCAUUAAGCACUCCGCCUGGGGAGUACGGUCGCAAGACUGAAACUCAAAGGAAUUGACGGGGGCCCGCACAAGCGGUGGAGCAUGUGGUUUAAUUCGAAGCAACGCGAAGAACCUUACCAGGUCUUGACAUCCCAUUGACCACUAUGGAGACAUAGUUUUCCCUUCGGGGACAACGGUGACAGGUGGUGCAUGGUUGUCGUCAGCUCGUGUCGUGAGAUGUUGGGUUAAGUCCCGCAACGAGCGCAACCCUUGUUCUUAGUUGCCAUCAUUUAGUUGGGCACUCUAAGGAGACUGCCGGUGACAAACCGGAGGAAGGUGGGGAUGACGUCAAAUCAUCAUGCCCCUUAUGACCUGGGCUACACACGUGCUACAAUGGACGGUACAAACGGUUGCCAACCCGCGAGGGGAGCUAAUCCGAUAAAACCGUUCUCAGUUCGGAUUGUAGGCUGCAACUCGCCUAC
rnacentral:rRNA from 1 species